GUCUGCAACUCGACUACAUGAAGCUGGAAUCGCUAGUAAUCGCAGAUCAGAAUGCUGCGGUGAAUACGUUCCCGGGUCUUGUACACACCGCCCGUCACACCAUGGGAGUCGGAAAUGCCCGAAGCCGGUGACCCAACCAAAAGGAGGGAGCCGUCGAAGGCAGGUCUGAUAACUGGGGUGAAGUCGUAACAAGGUAGC
rnacentral:rRNA from 1 species